rnacentral:rRNA from 1 species
AUGCACGCUGGCGGCGUGCCUCAUCCCUGCAAGUCGCGCGAACAGACGAGGAGCUUGCUCCUCUGACGUUAGCGGCGGACGGGUGAGUAACACGUGGAUAACCUACCUAUAAGACUGGGAUAACUUCGGGAAACCGGAGCUAAUACCGGAUAAUAUAUUGAACCGCAUGGUUCAAUAGUGAAAGACGGUUUUGCUGUCACUUAUAGAUGGAUCCGCGCCGCAUUAGCUAGUUGGUAAGGUAACGGCUUACCAAGGCAACGAUGCGUAGCCGACCUGAGAGGGUGAUCGGCCACACUGGAACUGAGACACGGUCCAGACUCCGACGGGAGGCAGCAGUAGGGAAUCUACCGCAAUGGGCGAAAGCUUGACGGAGCAACGCCGCGUGAGUGAUGAAGGUCUGCGGAUCGUAAAACGCUGUUAUUAGGGAAGAACAAAUGUGUAAGUAACUAUGCACGUCUUGACGGUACCUAAGCAGAAAGCCACGGCUAACUACGU